rnacentral:rRNA from 2 species
UUCCGGUUGAUCCUGCCGGACCUGACUGCUAUCGGAUUGAUACUAAGCCAUGCGAGUCAUUGUAGCAAUACAAGGCAGACGGCUCAGUAACGCGUAGUCAACCUACCCUAUGGACGGGAAUAACCUCGGGAAACUGAGAAUAAUGCCCGAUAGAACAUUAUGCCUGGAAUGGUUUAUGUUCCAAAUGAUUUAUCGCCGUAGGAUGGGACUGCGGCCUAUCAGUUUGUUGGUGAGGUAAUGGCCCACCAAGACUAUUACAGGUACGGGCUCUGAGAGGAGUGGCCCGGAGAUGGGUACUGAGACACGGACCCAGGCCCUAUGGGGCGCAGCAGGCGAGAAAACUUUGCAAUGUGCGAAAGCACGACAAGGUUAAUCCGAGUGGUUUCUGCUAAAGGAACCUUUUGACAGUCCUAGAAACACUGUUGAAUAAGGGGUGGGCAAGUUCUGGUGUCAGCCGCCGCGGUAAAACCAGCACCUCAAGUGGUCAGGAUGAUUAUUGGGCCUAAAGCAUCCGUAGCCGGCUCUGUAAGUUUUCGGUUAAAUCUAUACGCUCAACGUAUAGGCUGCCGGGAAUACUGCAGAGCUAGGGAGUGGGAGAGGUAGACGGUACUCGGUAGGAAGGGGUAAAAUCCUUUGAUCUAUUGAUGACCACCUGUGGCGAAGGCGGUCUACCAGAACACGUCCGACGGUGAGGGAUGAAAGCUGGGGGAGCAAACCGGAUUAGAUACCCGGGUAGUCCCAGCUGUAAACUAUGCAAACUCAGUGAUGCAUUGGCUUGUGGCCAAUGCAGUGCUGCAGGGAAGCCGUUAAGUUUGCCGCCUGGGAAGUACGUACGCAAGUAUGAAACUUAAAGGAAUUGGCGGGGGAGCACCACAAGGGGUGAAGCCUGCGGUUCAAUUGGAUUCAACGCCGGA